rnacentral:rRNA from 1 species
GUGAGGAAUAUUGGUCAAUGGACGAGAGUCUGAACCAGCCAAGUCGCGUGAAGGAAGACGGUUCUAUGAAUUGUAAACUUCUUUUGUGCAGGAAUAAAGUGGGUUACGUGUAACCUUUUGUAUGUACUGUACGAAUAAGGAUCGGCUAACUCCGUGCCAGCAGCCGCGGUAAUACGGAGGAUCCGAGCGUUAUCCGGAUUUAUUGGGUUUAAAGGGUUCGUAGGUGGAUUGAUAAGUCAGCGGUGAAAGUUUGCAGCUUAACUGUAAAAUUGCCGUUGAAACUGUCGGUCUUGAGUGCAAAUGAGGUAGGCGGAAUGUGUUGUGUAGCGGUGAAAUGCUUAGAUAUAACACAGAACUCCGAUUGCGAAGGCAGCUUACUGGGAUGCAACUGACACUGAUGCACGAAAGCGUGGGUAUCAAACAGGAUUAGAAACCCUAGUAGUCC